rnacentral:tRNA from 1 species
GGGGUUAUAACUCUGGUAGAGCACGUGCUUAGCACGCAUGAGGUCCUGGGUUCAAUUCCCAGUACCUCCG